AAUGUAAAUGAUGAAUACAAAGCGAACUAUUCUUUCCCCUUUUACUAAAGAAUACCGUGUAUUCGUCAUUUACAGCGGCAUACGCUUAUUUUUGGAAGAGUCUUCCUUAAGAGGACUC
rfam:Cajanus cajan Scaffold132418_3, whole genome shotgun sequence.